rnacentral:rRNA from 1 species
CGGACAAUAUACAAGGUGCUGCAUGGUUGUCGUCAGCUCGUGCCGUGAGGUGUCGGGUUAAGUCCCAUAACGAGCGCAACCCCUAUCAUUAGUUGCCAUCAGGUCAAGCUGGGGACUCUAAUGAAACUGCCUACGCAAGUAGUGAGGAAGGUGGGGAUGACGUCAAAUCAGCACGGCCCUUACGUCCAGGGCUACACACGUGCUACAAUGGCCGGUACAAAGGGCAGCUACCUGGUGACAGGAUGCUAAUCUCAAAAGCCGGUCUCAGUUCGGAUCGGAGUCUGCAACCCGACUCCGUGGAGCUGGAAUCGCUAGUAAUCGCGCAUCAGCCAUGGCGCGGUGAAUACGUUCCCGGGCCUU